ACUCCUACGGGAGGCAGCAGUGGGGAAUUUUGGACAAUGGGGGAAACCCUGAUCCAGCCAUCCCGCGUGUGCGAUGAAGGCCUUCGGGUUGUAAAGCACUUUUGGCAGGAAAGAAACGUUCCGGGUUAAUACCCCGGGAAACUGACGUACUGCAGAAU
rnacentral:rRNA from 1 species